rnacentral:rRNA from 1 species
AGCGAACGCUGGCGGCAGGCUUAACACAUGCAAGUCGAGCGGGCACUUCGGUGUCAGCGGCAGACGGGUGAGUAACACGUGGGAACGUACCCUUCGGUUCGGAAUAACGCUGGGAAACUAGCGCUAAUACCGGAUACGCCCUUUUGGGGAAAGGUUUACUGCCGAAGGAUCGGCCCGCGUCUGAUUAGCUAGUUGGUGGGGUAAUGGCCUACCAAGGCGACGAUCAGUAGCUGGUCUGAGAGGAUGAUCAGCCACACUGGGACUGAGACGCGGCCCAGACUCCUACGGGAGGCAGCAGUGGGGAAUAUUGGACAAUGGGCGCAAGCCUGAUCCAGCCAUGCCGCGUGAGUGAUGAAGGCCUUAGGGUUGUAAAGCUCUUUUGUCCGGGACGAUAAUGACGGUACCGGAAGAAUAAGCCCCGGCUAACUUCGU